rnacentral:rRNA from 1 species
AUUGAACGCUGGCGGCAUGCCUUACACAUGCAAGUCGAACGGUAACAGGUCUUCGGAUGCUGACGAGUGGCGAACGGGUGAGUAAUACAUCGGAACGUGCCUAGUAGUGGAGGAUAACUACUCGAAAGAGUGGCUAAUACCGCAUGAGAUCUACGGAUGAAGGCAGGGGAUCGCAAGACCUUGUGCUACUAGAGCGGCCGAUGGCAGAUUAGGUAGUUGGUGGGAUAAAAGCUUACCAAGCCGACGAUCUGUAGCUGGUCUGAGAGGACGAUCAGCCACACUGGGACUGAGACACGGCCCAGACUCCUACGGGAGGCAGCAGUGGGGAAUUUUGGACAAUGGGCGCAAGCCUGAUCCAGCAAUGCCGCGUGCAGGAUGAAGGCCUUCGGGUUGUAAACUGCUUUUGUACGGAACGAAAAGCCCUGGGUUAAUACCCUGGGGUCAUGACGGUACCGUAAGAAUAAGCACCGGCUAACUACGUGCCAGCAGCCGCGGUAACAC